UACGGGGGGAGCGAGCGUUGUUCGGAUUUACUGGGCGUAAAGGGCGCGUAGGCGGCCAGCACAAGUCAGUUGUGAAAUCUCCGAGCUUAACUCGGAAAGGUCAACUGAUACUGUGCGGCUAGAGUGCGGAAGGGGCAACUGGAAUUCUUGGUGUGGCGGUGAAAUGCGUAGAUAUCAAGAGGAACACCUGCGGCGAAGGCGGGUUGCUGGGCCGACACUGACGCUGAGGCGCGAAAGCCAGGGGAGCGAACGGG
rnacentral:rRNA from 1 species